rnacentral:rRNA from 1 species
GAUGAACGCUGGCGGCGUGCCUAAUACAUGCAAGUCGAGCGAACGGACGAGAAGCUUGCUUCUCUGACGUUAGCGGCGGACGGGUGAGUAACACGUGGAUAACCUACCUAUAAGACUGGGAUAACUUCGGGAAACCGGAGCUAAUACCGGAUGAUAUUUUGAACCGCAUGGUUCAAAAGUGAAAGACGGUCUUGCUGUCACUUAUAGAUGGAUCCGCGCUGCAUUAGCUAGUUGGUAAGGUAACGGCUUACCAAGGCAACGAUGCAUAGCCGACCUGAGAGGGUGAUCGGCCACACUGGAACUGAGACACGGUCCAGACUCCUACGGGAGGCAGCAGUAGGGAAUCUUCCGCAAUGGGCGAAAGCCUGACGGAGCAACGCCGCGUGAGUGAUGAAGGUCUUCGGAUCGUAAAACUCUGUUAUUAGGGAAGAACAAAUGUGUAAGUAACUAUGCACGUCUUGACGGUACCUAAUCAGAAAGCCACGGCUAACUACGUG